GUAAUGCUAAGCUGUGGUCAUAACUUCUGCAGUGCCUGUAUAAUAUUAUUAUUAUGAUAUUUAUAGAGCGCCGUCAAAUUCCGCAGCGCUUUACAAUGGGUGGACGAACAGACAUGUAGUUGUAACCAGACAGGUUGGACACACAGGAACAGAGGGGUUGAGGGCCCUGCUCAAUGAGCUUACAUGCUAGGAGUGGGGUAAAAUGACACAAAAAGGUAAGGA